rnacentral:rRNA from 1 species
CAGCCGCCGCGGUAAUACCGGCCCCGCGAGUGGUCGGGGUGUUUAUUGGGCCUAAAGCGUCCGUAGCCGGCCCGGUAAGUCCCUCCUUAAAGCCCACGGCUCAACCGUGGGAGCGGAGGGAUACUGCCGGGCUAGGGGGCGGGAGAGGCCGGGGGUACUCCUGGGGUAGGGGCGAAAUCCUAUAAUCCCAGGAGGACCACCAGUAGCGAAGGCGCCCGGCUAGCACGCGCCCGACGGUGAGGGACGAAAGCUGGGGGAGCAAAGGGGAUUAGAUACCCCCGUAGUCCCAGCUGUAAACGAUGCAGGCUAGGUGUUAGGCGGGCUUCGUGCCCGCCUAGUGCCGUAGGGAAGCCGUUAAGCCUGCCGCCUGGGGAGUACGGCCGCAAGGCUGAAACUUAAAGGAAUUGGCGGG